AGUCGAACGGUGAAGUNCNAGCUUGCUUGGUGGAUCAGUGGCGAACGGGUGAGUAACACGUGAGCAACCUGCCCUGGACUCUGGGAUAAGCGCUGGAAACGGCGUCUAAUACUGGAUAUGAGCUCUCAUCGCAUGGUGGGGGUUGGAAAGAUUUUUCGGUCUGGGAUGGGCUCGCGGCCUAUCAGCUUGUUGGUGAGGUAAUGGCUCACCAAGGCGUCGACGGGUAGCCGGCCUGAGAGGGUGACCGGCCACACUGGGACUGAGACACGGCCCAGACUCCUACGGGAGGCAGCAGUGGGGAAUAUUGCACAAUGGGCGGAAGCCUGAUGCAGCAACGCCGCGUGAGGGAUGACGGCCUUCGGGUUGUAAACCUCUUUUAGCAGGGAAGAAGCGAGAGUGACGGUACCUGCAGAAAAAGCGCCGGCUAACUACGUGCCAGCAGCCCGGGG
rnacentral:rRNA from 1 species